rnacentral:rRNA from 1 species
UACGGAGGGUGCAAGCGUUAUCCGGAUUCACUGGGUUUAAAGGGUGCGUAGGCGGGCAGGUAAGUCAGUGGUGAAAUCCUGGAGCUUAACUCCAGAACUGCCAUUGAUACUAUCUGUCUUGAAUAUUGUGGAGGUAAGCGGAAUAUGUCAUGUAGCGGUGAAAUGCUUAGAUAUGACAUAGAACACCUAUUGCGAAGGCAGCUUACUACGCAUAUAUUGACGCUGAGGCACGAAAGCGUGGGGAUCAAACAGGAUUAGAUACCCUGGUAGUCCACGCCCUAAACGAUGGAUACUCGACAUACGCGAUACACUGUGUGUGUCUGAGCGAAAGCAUUAAGUAUCCCACCUGGGAAGUACGACCGCAAGGUUG